rnacentral:rRNA from 1 species
GAUCAUGGCUCAGGAUGAACGCUGGCGGCGUGCCUAACACAUGCAAGUCGAACGGGAAUCUUCGGAUUCUAGUGGCGGACGGGUGAGUAACGCGUUAAGAAUCUAACUUCAGGACGGGGACAACAGUUGGAAACGACUGCUAAUACCCGAUGUGCCGAAAGGUGAAACCUAUUGGCCUGAAGAAGAGCUUGCGUCUGAUUAGCUAGUUGGUGGGGUAAAGGCCUACCAAGGCGACGAUCAGUAGCUGGUCUGAGAGGAUGAGCAGCCACACUGGGACUGAGACACGGCCCAGACUCCUACGGGAGGCAGCAGUGGGGGAAUUUUCCGCAAUGGGCGAAAGCCUGACGGAGCAACGCCGCGUGAGGGAGGAAGGUCUUUGGAUUGUAAACCUCUUUUCUCAAGGAAGAAGUUCUGACGGUACUUGAGGAAUCAGCCUCGGCUAACUCCGUG